rnacentral:rRNA from 1 species
UCGAGAAUUUGAACGCAAGUUGCGCCCGAGGCCAGCCGGCCAAGGGCACGUUCGCCUGGGCGUCAAGCAUUACGUCGCUCCGUGCCAACUCCAUCCUACGAUUGGGUGGGAAUGGUUGAGGCUCGGAUGUGCAGAGUGGCUCGUCGUGCCCGUCGGUGCGG